CAGCCGCCGCGGUAACACGUAGGGUGCAAGCGUUAAUCGGAAUUACUGGGCGUAAAGCGUGCGUAGGCGGUUUGUUAAGUCUGUUGUGAAAUCCCCGGGCUCAACCUGGGAAUGGCAAUGGAUACUGGCAAGCUAGAGUGUGUCAGAGGAUGGUGGAAUUCCCGGUGUAGCGGUGAAAUGCGUAGAGAUCGGGAGGAACAUCAGUGGCGAAGGCGGCCAUCUGGGACAACACUGACGCUGAGGCACGAAAGCGUGGGGAGCAAACAGGAUUAGAUACCCCCGUAGUCCCUGUCUCUUAUAC
rnacentral:rRNA from 1 species